GGCUGUCAGUGCGCCUGCGCGGGAGGCCUGUUGGCCGGCAAGGCUGAGCGGACUCGCCUCCAGAGCGGGGUAGCCAGUGCGUCUGCGCGCGGGCCGGCGCCGCAGAUCCUUGACUCGGCUACGCCGGGCGCUGGGUGCAGCCAUGCAGAGCGCUGAGCCGGAGCAGCCCUGCAAGCGGCCCCGACGCGAUGGGAGCCCGAGAAGCCCGCAGAACACCCAGACUGCAGCGGCGCCAGAAUCCCCGGAGCGCGAACUCCACCCCGACCCCAAGACCUGGGGCCCUGAGCAGGUGUGCGCCUUUCUAAGGCGCAGUGGCAUCGGUAGUGACCCUCUGCUGCAGACACGUUUCCGAGAAAAUAAAAUCACGGGUUCACUACUGCCGUUUCUUGAUGAGUCUCUUCUUGAAAAUCUUGGAGUUAGUUCCUCGAAAGAGAGAGAGAAGCUGCUUCAUCAUAUUCAAAGACUGAGUCAAACUCAAGUUGAUACAGUGAAGGUUAUUAAUGAUCCUAUCCAUGGCCACAUUGAGCUCCAUCCUCUUCUCAUCCGAAUCAUUGACACACCUCAAUUUCAGCGGCUUCGAUACAUUAAACAGUUGGGAGGGAGUUACUAUGUUUUUCCAGGAGCUUCCCACAACCGAUUUGAGCAUAGUGUGGGGGUAGGGUACCUAGCAGGAUGUCUAGUUCGCGCACUGCGUGACAAACAGCCAGAGCUGCAGAUAAGUGACCGAGAUGUGCUCUGUGUAGAGAUUGCUGGGCUUUGUCAUGAUCUUGGUCAUGGACCAUUUUCUCACAUGUUUGAUGGAAGAUUUAUUCCACUUGCCCGCCCUGAGAUAAAAUGGAAGCACGAACAGGGCUCAGUCAAGAUGUUUGAGCAUCUAGUUGAUUCUAACGGACUCAGAGAAGUCAUGAAACAGUAUAAUCUCAUCCCUGAAGAAGAUAUUUGUUUUAUCAAGGAACAAAUUACAGGACCACUUGAAUCCCCAACAAAGUCUUUGUGGACAUAUAAAGGGCGUCCUAAAGAGAAAAGCUUCCUCUAUGAGAUAGUGGCUAAUAAAAGAAAUGGCAUUGAUGUGGACAAAUGGGAUUAUUUUGCCAGGGACUGCCAUCAUCUCGGAAUCCAAAAUAAUUUUGAUUACAGGCGCUUUAUUAAGUUUGCCCGUGUCUGUGAAGUAGAUAACAAGAAGCAUAUUUGUACUAGAGAUAAGGAAGUUGGGAAUCUGUAUGAUAUGUUCCACACACGCAACUCUUUACACCGCAGAGCUUACCAACACAAAGUUGGCAACAUCAUUGAGACAAUGAUUACAGAUGCUUUCCUCGAAGCAGACCCCUACAUAGAGAUUACAGGUGCCCAAGGCAGAAAGUACCGUCUGUCUACAGCCAUUGAUGACGUGGAGGCCUUCACUAAGCUAACAGAUAACAUUUUUCUGGAGAUUUUAUACUCUACUGAUCCCAGAUUGGACGUAGCACGAGAGAUUUUAAAAAAAAUCGAAUGCCGCAAACUGUACAAGUAUGUGGGUCAGACUCAGCCAAAGGGACAAGUAAAGAUUAAAAAGUGUCGUUUCAGAGCACGAACACCUUCAUGGCACAAACAUUUAGUGAUGAAAACCUUGAGUUCUGACAUGCGGAGCCUUGUCUUUUCUAGGAACAUUAUGAAUCCCUUCCACAAGACGUUGCUAAUGCUAAACCUGACCCUGAUAUAGUGCUACAAGCUGAGCUGAAGGCUGAAGAUUUCAUAGUGGACUGCAUAUAGGGUCAGAGCUAGAAGAGGCCAUGCAUAGAAGAUAGACACAUGGCUGUUAGAAUGAAAAGAAGUUUAACUUUACCAGGAAUCAAAUAAAGGCAAAUAUGAGGAAAACCCAAAAACAAACCUGUUGCAGUCAAGUGGAUUCUGACUCAUAGCGACCCUAUAAGACAGGAUAGAACUAACCCAUAGAGUUUCCAAGGAGCAGCUGGUGGAUUCGAACUGCCGACUUCUUGGUUAGCAGCCGAGCUCUUAAGCACUGCGCCAUCAGGGCUCCUUCCUAUAUCCUAGAAAGGCAAGUAAAAUUGCUAAUUAAAUGUCUUAUUAUCAUAUAUUAGCAUCUCAGUUUUAGUUUUUUGGUAGUGUGCAUAUAUUUAUGUGGUGCGUUGGACUGUGUAUAGCUCCCUUUAGGACUGUGUAUAGUAAAUUUUAUGACUAUUUAAUGGAUAUAAAACAUAUCUUUACUCUGUAGAAUUAUUACAGAGAUUCAUAGUUGUUGGCCUGUAGCUGCUUUUUUGCUUUUGAGUACUUGGUUAGGAAUGGGAUUCUCAGCUAUUACAAAUUACUCUUCUGAAAAAAUAUGUUUUAGCAAACGUGAUUUAAGAAGGAGUUUCCUGUAACACACUGUGGAGAAAAUAGAGGUUGCCUUUUAUUCCUAUUUUAAAGUCAAGGAGAUAAGUACCAAAGAGCACUCCUUAGAAACUGAUGAGAAUUUGAUUAGGGCUCGUGGCUGCAGCAGGUACCUCCCCACGUGAAGCAACACCCAGGAGAGAGGGCUGUGAUAAUGCUAGCUCUGGGGUCAUGGGGAUGGUUUGAGCAGUUGCUCUCUCCUAGUUGAAGGGAUGCAGUGGACCAAGAGAACAAGAGAGCUGGCCAUGUACUUCAGCCUCCCUGGUCUCAACCCUAAGCCAUGGCAAAAGCCCACGUGCCCACCCUUCUCUCACAGGCUAAAGGAAGUAUAACCACCAAACGUCCCGUACCUGUUUUCUUCAGCCACUUCUCAGUGUACGCUUCUCUUAUCAUCUGUACCUUUCUACACCAUCACCCCUAUAUUACCUGUUUUGCCCCGAUUCAAUUCCACUCAUUCUUUUAUGAAAUCUGUCCGUGGAACCUUUGGAAUUUCUACUCCAUAACUGACAAGUUCUUAUCCUCAGACUCUUUGCCUUUACUGCAACCUGGCUGUCACCUGAGAAUUGCUUCCCCUACAGCUCUUUCAUGAAAAGCCCAUUCCUCAGAGCGAGACCUUCCUGUUCAUCAGUCCUCUUGCUCCCUAGAACCACUUCAAGACCCCUGUACUCUAAGACUUUCACCCUCAAACCAUACCCACCCUCUUACUAUCUAUUGUCCUCUUAGUUGAAGAUUUUGCUGUGGAUUAGAGUCUUCCUUUCCAUUCUUAACUCCUGCCAUUAUCCUGAGUGACUUCAGAAUCCACAUGGCCCACCAACUCUUUGAUCUCUUCAUCCUCAGCGACCUUGUCCACGCCACCUCAGCCAACACUUGCUAAACAUUAUCAACACUCGAAAUUGCUCUCCCUGUAAAACCACUAAUUUAGAAAACCUGUUCUCUGUUUGGAAACCCUGGUGGCGUAGUGGUUAAGUGCUACGGCUGCUAACCAAAGAGUCGGCAGUUCGAAUCCUCCAGGUGCUCCUUGGAAACCCUAUGGGGCAGUUCUACCCUGUCCUAUAGGGUCACUAUGAGUCGGAAUCAACUCGAUGGCACUGGGUUUGGUUUUUUGGGUUUUUGGUUCUCUGUUCAGAGCCCUGGUAGCACAGUGGUUAAGAGAUUGGCUGCUAACCAAAAGGUCGGCAGUUUGAAUCCAUGAGCGGCUCCUUGGAAACCCUAUGGGGCACUUCUACCCUGUCCUGUAGGGUUGCUAUGAGUUGGAAUUGACUUGAUGGCAACAGGUUUUUUUUGUUUGUUUGUUUUCUAUUCACAAAUCCCUUUCCUCCUACUUUGCUUGUUCCUACCUCAUCAGGACCUCCAGUUUAUUGUGUCCUCACCUUCUUCCUGUUUGUUAGUGGCCUUCCACCUUUAUUUCUCUCCCAAUCUAACCCAUUUAUUCAGUCACUUUCUGCAGUUACCCUUAACGCCCCCCCCCCGCCCCCCACACUUUGUAACUGCCUAGCAAAAAGCUGAAUGACCCUGUGAAUCUAAACUUCUCCCUGUCUACACCUGGACAGAUAAAUGCUGCUGGAGAGAACCUCUGUACUGGCAUCUCUAGAAAUUCAUGUCACCAAUCUUAACUGGGUCCUCAGUACUCCUGGCAGGCUAAGUGCAGCAAGCCUGCCUCUAUCUGCCUCUCUAUUAAGCCUUCCCGCUGUUAUAGUUGGGAAAUGUCUCCCGUUAUCAAAGGCUAAGAGUAAUCCUUCUACUGGCUGCCUAGAGCAUCACAGCACUGCCGGAUAGAACUUUCUGUGGUGGUAGAAAGGUUCUAUAUCUCUCUUGUCCUUUUUGGUAGCCACUAGCCACAUGUGGCUAUUUACCACUUGAAAUGCAACUACUGCAACUGAAGAAGUAAUUUUUUAAGUUGUAUUUAAUGUCAGUUACUUUAAAUAAAAAAAGAAAAAGCAUUUGGCUACUGGCCACUGCGUUGGGCAGUGCAGCUGUGGAGCCCACUGCCUCAUAACUUCUGUCGAAUCUUACGAUCAGUUCUCUCCUCCCUCUUUUUAAUGUUCCCAUCAGCAGUUAAACAGGUUUUCAGCUUAAGAAAAUAACACCGCCACUCCUCUUCACUCCUCUCUUCUUCAGGGUGAAGCUUGUUGAAAAGUUGUCUCCACUUAGUUUUCCUGGGUACCGCAUCGCUCUCCAGGUGCUUCUCUCUUGCCUCUUCUGAGAAUUAAUCUUCUUUUUUUUACUUCUCAUUUACUCCUGAACCAUUUCUCUGUCACCAUCACUACUGAAACUACUCUUGCCAAGAUCAACAAUGACUUACGUGUUGCUAAAUCCAACUUUCAGUCCCCUUUGCCUCAGAGGUGUUUGUUCUGCCUGGAUUUCUUCUCUUUCCUACCUUAUUGUUGUUGUUAGUUGUCAAGCUGAUUCUGACUCAUGGUGACCCCAUGUGUGCAGAGUGGAACUGCUCCAAAGGAUUUUCGAGGCUGUGACCUUCUGGAAGCAGAUCUCCAGGCCUGUCUGCCAAGGAGCCUCUGGUUGAGUUUGAACUGCCAGCCUUUUCAACUAGUGCUGCUUAACCGUUUGUGCCACCCAGGGACCACCUUUCCUACCUCCGCCUGAUUAAUUCCUACUCAGGAAAGUCACUUUCCCGGGAAAACAUUUCCUGUUAUUCCCUAUCAUCCCAGACUCUUGUUGCUGUUGUGUGCUGUGAGUUGAUUCCAACUCAUAGUGACCCUACAGGACAAGUGGAGCUGCCUCAUAGGGUUGUAAUCUUCACGGGAGCAGAUUCCCAGGUCUUUUCUCCCGUAGAAUGGCUGGUGGAUUCAAAGCACCAGCCUUUCAGUUAGCAGCUGAAUGCUUAACCAUUGCACCACCAGGGCUCCUUCAGUCUCUGUUAGGUCCUGUGUUACAUAGUUUCACAGCACCCUUUGCUUUUCUUUGGUAACUCUUUUAUAAUUACAGUGAAAUCUGUGAGGGCCGGAACUCAAUGGGACUGCCAUGUUUUUUCAGGUCUCGCAAGUUUUCCACUUUGACAGGGUGCUUACCACUUUUCUAUCGCUCUCUAUUAAAACUCCUACCUUAUCAGCACAACUGGACUAAACCAAAAGCAAAGAAGUUUCCUGAAUAAACUGAACGUUUCAAAGGCCAGCGUAGCAGGGGCGGGGGUUUGGGGAGCAUGGUUUCAGGGGACAUCUAAGUCAAUUGGCGUAAUAAAAUCUAUUAAGAAAACAUUCUUCAUCCCACUUUGGAGAAUGGCGCCUGGGGUCUUAAACGUUAGCAAGCGGCCAUCUAAGAUGUAUCAACUGGUCUCAACCCACCUGAAGCAAAGAAGAAUGAAGAACGCCCAAGGCACAAGGUAAUUAUGAGCCCAAGUGACAGAAAGGGCCACAUAAAGCAGAGACUGCAUUAGCCUGAGACCAGAAGAACUAGAUGGUGCCCAGCUACAACUGAUGACUGCCCUGAGAGGGAACACAACAGAGAAUCCCUGAAGGACCAGGAGAGCAGUGAGAUGCAGGCCUCAAAUUCUAAUAAAAAGACCAGACUUAAAGGUCUGACUAAGACUGGAAGGACCCCAAAGGUCAUGGUCCCCAGACCUUCUGUUAACCCGAGGCAGGAACCUUUCCCAAAGCCAACUCUUCAGACAGGGAUUGGACUGGACUAUGGGAUAGAAAAGGAUACUGGUGAAGAGUGAGUUUCUUGGAUCAAGUAGACACAUGAGACUAUAUGGGCAGCUCCUGUCUGGAGGGGAGAUAAGAGGGCAGAGGGGGACAGAAGCUGGCCGAAUGGACACAAAAAUAGAGUGUGGAGAGAAGGAGUGUGCUGUCCCGUUAGGGGGAGAGCAAAUAGGAGUAUAUAGCAAGUUGUUUAUAAAUUUUUGUACAAGAGACUGACUUGAUUUGUAAACUUUCACUUAAAGCGCUAUAAAAAUUUAAAAAAAAAAAAAAAAAAAUCCUACCUCAUAAACACCCAAUGAGUUUCCCUUC